GAUGAACGCUGGCGGCGUGCCUAAUACAUGCAAGUCGAGCGAACAGACGCUGCUCUUGCUCCUCUUACGUUAGCGGCUCACGUGUGUGUCACACGUGUAUACCCUACCUAUCUUUCUUGUAUCUCUUCGGUAAUCCGGCUCUUAUCCCGUAUAAUCUCUUGCUCCGCAUUGUUCUAUAGUUAAUUUCGGUUUUUCUGUCUCUUCUCGCUGUUUCCGGGCUGCAUUAGCUUGUUGUUAAGGUAACGGCUUACCAAGGCAACGAUUCGUAUCCGACCUGAGAGGGUGAUCGGCAACACUGGAACUGAGACACGGACAAGACGCCUACGGGAGGCAGCAGUAGGGAAUGGGACGCAAUGGGGGAAAGCAUGACGGAGCAACGGCGCGUGAGUGAAGAAGGUCUUAGGAGCGGAAAACGCUGUUAUUAGGGAAGAACAAAUGUGGAAGGAACUAUGCACGUAUUGACGGUAACUAAUAAGAAAGCCACGGCUAACUACGUG
rnacentral:rRNA from 1 species